AUUUCAUCAAGAGUAGCUGAGGGAUUGGCCCUAUGAAGCUACGGCAACCAUUCAUACUGAAACGGUGCCAAUUCCAUCGGAUUUCCCGAAAGAUGAACA
rnacentral:ncRNA from 2 species